rnacentral:rRNA from 1 species
GUGGGGAAUAUUGGGCAAUGGGGGAAACCCUGACCCAGCAACGCCGCGUGAAGGAAGAAGGUUUUCGGAUCGUAAACUUCUAUCCUUGGUGAAGAUAAUGACGGUAGCCAAGAAGGAAGCCCCGGCUAACUACGUGCCAGCAGCCGCGGUAAUACGUAGGGGGCAAGCGUUGUCCGGAAUGAUUGGGCGUAAAGGGCGCGUAGGCGGCCCGGUAAGUCUGAAGUGAAAGUCCUGCUUUUAAGGUGGGAAUUGCUUUGGAUACUGUCGGGCUUGAGUGCAGGAGAGGUAAGCGGAAUUCCCGGUGUAGCGGUGAAAUGCGUAGAGAUCGGGAGGAACACCAGUGGCGAAGGCGGCUUACUGGACUGUAACUGACGCUGAGGCGCGAAAGUGUGGGGAGCAAACAGGAUUAGAAACCCCUGUAGUCC